CAGCCGCCGCGGUAAUACGUAGGUGGCAAGCGUUGUCCGGAAUUAUGGGCGUAAGGGCUCGCAGGCGGUUUCUUAAGUCUGAUGUGAAAGCCCCCGGCUCAACCGGGGAGGGUCAUUGGAAACUGGGAAACUUGAGUGCAGAAGAGGAGAGUGGAAUUCCACGUGUAGCGGUGAAGUGCGUAGAGAUGUGGAGGAACACCAGUGGCAAAGGCGACUCUCUGGUCUGUAACUGACGCUGAGGAGCGAAAGCGUGGGGAGCGAACAGGAUUAGAUACCCCCGUAGUCCCUGUCUCUUAUACAC
rnacentral:rRNA from 1 species